rnacentral:rRNA from 1 species
CCUACGGGAGGCAGCAGUGAGGAAUAUUGGUCAAUGGGCUUACGCCUGAACCAGCCAAGUCGCGUGAGGGAAGACUGCCCUAUGGGUUGUAAACCUCUUUUGUCAGGGAGCAAUUGGCGCUACGUGUAGCGUUAUCGAGAGUACCUGAAGAAAAAGCAUCGGCUAACUCCGUGCCAGCAGCCGCGGUAAUACGGAGGAUGCGAGCGGUAUCCGGAUUGAUUGGGUUUAAAGGGUGCGUAGGCGGAAUGCCAAGUCAGCGGUAAAAUCGCGGGGCUCAACCUCGCUCCGCCGUUGAAACUGGCGUUCUUGAGUGGGCGAGAAGUAUGCGGAAUGCGUGGUGUAGCGGUGAAAUGCAUAGAUAUCACGCAGAACUCCGAUUGCGAAGGCAGCAUACCGGCGCCCAACUGACGCUGAAGCACGAAAGCGUGGGUAUCGAACAGGAUUAGAUACCCCAGUAGUA